AGCAGGUAGAGCAGAGGACUGAAAAUCCUCGUGUCACCAGUUCAA
rnacentral:tRNA from 1 species